GGAGGCCAACCAGGAGUAAUGAGCCAACCAGGAACUCGGCACUACCGGGACAAGUGCAGCAAAAUGUACUCUGUCUGUCAGGCAGAAUAAACACAACCUUCACCACAAGGACUGAUUGAGGAAGGCCCUACCACUCUGUUCUGCAGAUACACGUUCUUCACCCAUUGCAGGAACAUUGUCUUUCACAAUCUCGGGCACAUACUCUUCCAUGAAAAUGACUGAGCAUAUUUAAGGGUCCUGUGCCGGAGGUGGAAGCGUGUCCAGUAAAACACGGUAGUGUCUAAUUUAACAUCCGCUGUCGGGCCGGUUAGAAGGACUCGCUGUCUCUUCAGUUUGGUACUGGGCACUGCAUUCAGUCAGGACCUUGGGAAUCCAGACUGGAAUCCCGGUGGGAGAGAUCUAGUCCCCACUGCGCUUCACCCUGGGAAAACCGACCAACAUGCAGUUGCUUCGCGUUCCUUUAUUUCAUUCACAGCAGAGAAGGUGUAAAUAAUUUGCCCUGUCUUCUGUGGCUGUGGUUCCGUGGAGCCGGGUGAGAGACAGGACUCAGGCCAGCUCAGUGGGCAUGAAUCAGCUCUGACCCAUCCACCAUUUUCAGUGGAGCCGACUUCCUCAGCACACUGAAUCACGGAGCUCUCAUUCGUUCAGCUGACGUCUUUAAAGCGAGGAUUUUUACCAAAAGUGGAUUUAGCUAAAAUGUCUGCCAGCCAGUAAAAACAGAGAUGGGUAGAGGACAAAUAUUUCAGCUGCUGAAUUCAAAAUAGUUCUGCACUCGAACUGUUUUUCCCAGUAAAGAUGUGCCUAAACUCACAGGCUAAAAUAAUAGUGCAAUCUGAUUCCGUUAAAAAUGUCAAAUGUUUAAAAAAAAAAAAAAAAGUAUGGUUUUUCAGAAUUUCCUUAGUAACUCACCAGUAACCUUGUAGAAACUCUUAAUUGUUACUCCCUCAGAGAAUAACAUAAUUUGACUGAUAAGUGCAGUAUUCCAAAAGUCAUGCUUUUGCUGAUAGUGGGACUUUAAUGAAUUUUUAGUAGCAUAGUGAAACAAAAAUAAGCAUCUUUUCCUUAUUUUAUUCAAAAUAGUUCAAAGCAACAUAUAAAAAAGUCA